GGUAAGACCGAUGACUAGGGCGAAGUCGUAACAAGGUAGCCGUACUGGAAAGUGCGGCUGGAUCACCUCCUUUCUAAGGAGC
rnacentral:rRNA from 1 species